GUGAGCCAGCAGGGCUCACAAUUGGAUGGCUCUUCUUGGGGGAUGGGGAAGUUAGUCUUUGGAGCCGGGCGACUCCCAACAAGUGCCACCCAGGGCACUGUCCAGUGAGCAAGCAUGAAUUUUUGAGCUCAAGAUUGAAAUGGUGUCCUUGCCCUGCACAUAAGAAGAAAGGAUAUGGGAAAGGAUGCUAUAUCGUCAAUACAAACCAACAGAUGCUUAUGUGUCUUUGUGUCAUGCCCCUGGUGUGCUUAUCAUGGAUUAUUCAAAGGAAUACCAUCAAAGCAACUCUGCAAGAAGAGGAAGCCUGUCUGAGAUUAUAUGGAAGUGUUUACAUCCAGGAAGUGAUUAGAAAACAACAGAAGGCUUAUGCUGGGUGCAUCAUUAUUAAGCUUGACAGCUCAGCAGAGCAGGGUGGGGCAGAUGACAGGCUCCUUAGCCCGGCUGGGAGGUUAGGCUUCCCACUCCAGAUCUGCAAUUUACAACAUCACCUUGAACUAUGUCCUUCCUUUCCCAGAGUCUUUUUAAAAUUCAUUUGUCAAAUUCAAGCUUUGAGAAACUACGUGGAAGACACUCCUAGCACAAUGCCCGAUCAUUAAGAAUGUUGGCUGGAGCACAGUGCAAGAACACAGCUUUGGUAGAUGCAUGCCAUGGACCCUUGGUUGGAAAAUUAGCCUAUAGAGUCCAGCACGAGGGGAGAGUGGACACCAUCUGCCAUGGAGUCUCUUCUUGUAUCUAGUAUUGCAUUCAUCUUCUGCUGACCUAUGAGAAGCACUGGUGACAAAGCACACCGGGUGGUCAGUGCCCACAGUGAGCUAAGGAUUCAAUAAACCAGUGCAUGAGAAGCUACCGGCAGAUUCCUGGCACACAGUACACACUCA